rnacentral:rRNA from 1 species
CGAGCGAACGGACGAGAAGCUUGCUUCUCUGAUGUUAGCGGCGGACGGCCUGAGUAACACGUGGAUAACCUACCUAUAAGACUGGGAUAACUUCGGGAAACCGGAGCUAAUACCGGAUAAUAUUUUGAACCGCAUGGUUCAAAAGUGAAAGACGGUCUUGCUGUCACUUAUAGAUGGAUCCGCGCUGCAUUAGCUAGUUGGUAAGGUAACGGCUUACCAAGGCAACGAUGCAUAGCCGACCUGAGAGGGUGAUCGGCCACACUGGAACUGAGACACGGUCCAGACUCCUACGGGAGGCAGCAGUAGGGAAUCUUCCGCAAUGGGCGAAAGCCUGACGGAGCAACGCCGCGUGAGUGAUGAAGGUCUUCGGAUCGUAAAACUCUGUUAUUAGGGAAGAACAUAUGUGUAAGUAACUGUGCACAUCUUGACGGUACCUAAUCAGAAAGCCACGGCUAACUACGUGCCAGCAGCCGCGGUAAUACGUAGGUGGCAAGCGUUAUCCGGAAUUAUUGGGCGUAAAGCGCGCGUAGGCGGUUUUUUAAGUCUGAUGUGAAAGCCCACGGCUCAACCGUGGAGGGUCAUUGGAAACUGGAAAACUUGAGUGCAGAAGAGGAAAGUGGAAUUCCAUGUGUAGCGGUGAAAUGCGCAGAGAUAUGGAGGAACACCAGUGGCGAAGGCGACUUUCUGGUCUGUAACUGACGCUGAUGUGCGAAAGCGUGGGGAUCAAACAGGAUUAGAUACCCUGGUAGUCCACGCCGUAAACGAUGAGUGCUAAGUGUUAGGGGGUUUCCGCCCCUUAGUGCUGCAGCUAACGCAUUAAGCACUCCGCCUGGGGAGUACGACCGCAAGGUUGAAACUCAAAGGAAUUGACGGGGACCCGCACAAGCGGUGGAGCAUGUGGUUUAAUUCGAAGCAACGCGAAGAACCUUACCAAAUCUUGACAUCCUUUGACAACUCUAGAGAUAGAGCCUUCCCCUUCGGGGGACAAAGUGACAGGUGGUGCAUGGUUGUCGUCAGCUCGUGUCGUGAGAUGUUGGGUUAAGUCCCGCAACGAGCGCAACCCUUAAGCUUAGUUGCCAUCAUUAAGUUGGGCACUCUAAGUUGACUGCCGGUGACAAACCGGAGGAAGGUGGGGAUGACGUCAAAUCAUCAUGCCCCUUAUGAUUUGGGCUACACACGUGCUACAAUGGACAAUACAAAGGGCAGCGAAACCGCGAGGUCAAGCAAAUCCCAUAAAGUUGUUCUCAGUUCGGAUUGUAGUCUGCAACUCGACUACAUGAAGCUGGAAUCGCUAGUAAUCGUAGAUCAGCAUGCUACGGUGAAUACGUUCCCGGGUCUUGUACACACCGCCCGUCACACCACGAGAGUUUGUAACACCCGAANCCGGUGGAGUAACCUUUUAGGAGCUAGCCGUCGAAGGUGGGACAAAUGAUUGGGGGAAGUCUA